CUCAGGUGCUGUUAGCUGUGCUGCAUUGUGAUCAAAGCUGGAAAGGCUGAGCAUAAGGGAAAGCGAAAAUGGGCUUGGAAAAAACACAACAACAUUCAUGAUUUUUUCGUGGCAGUGGAGUGCAAAAGGCUUAGCUCUGCUUCCCAAGUGUGCAGCAAUCCUUGGAAGAGAGAAAACAGCGUCAGCAUCCAGCAGCUCUCUGCUGGACCACGGCUCUGUCCGUUCAAGAGUCAAACUGAUGCAGCUCAGCCUGGAUUUCUGUUUUUUUCAUAUCGCCUGAGACAUUUUCACUCACCAUCAGGUGGCAUUACAACCAGAGCCCAGGAAGGCAGCAUGUUUCCUAUGGGAUGCUUUGGUGGGAUGGAGCACCCUGAGAAGCUCUACUUUUCAUCCAGGCAUUGUCCAAAGAUCCAGGCAUGGUUUUGCAUGUACCAGACCAUCACUGUGACCCAUCUGAGCUAUUUCAUGACAUGCCAGCUCAUUCACUCCAGCCCCUCACUAAAGGCUUGCUCUUGCUGGCUGGGAAGAAUAAAAUUUCAGCUGUACCCUUGGUGGCUGCAAAGGAAUGAGAUUUUGGAAGAGUGGAAGAACAAAGGCGGUGCUUGCUGCAGAGCCAGAGGUAACAGAGCAAGGCUUGUUCACUGGGUUUUGCACAAGAGCUGUGGGAGCAAGAGGACAACAUUUUCCAUGGGUGAAAGCCACCCUCCAGUAAGUGUCAUGCACAGUGGCUUCUGGAUUCAGGCAGAAACAAGAGCCCAAAGGAUUAUUGCUGCCCACACAGGAAGUUUUCCAGGCAGGGCAGUGUCAGUGCUACCACGUGAGUGCAAUCAGCAGCAAUCCAACAAGUCAAACCCCAGGAAACUCAAACAGCGGAGGAUGAGGACGUGUGGUCUGCCUGAAACCUAAUUGCUGUGAGGCACGAAAAGCAGCAGGACUGGGAGGACAGAAGAUGCAAGGUGAUGCUGAAGUCAUGUUCUGCUGCUGGCCAUAAGAGUGAUUCACUGAACAGCGUGUCCUCUGUCAGAGGGAGGGAAUGAUAAGCAGGGACAUUUGGCAUUCCAGUCCAUGAAAAGACCCAGGCCAACUGUCCUGCUCACCCAGCUGCUGCAGGAAACAGCUCUACGACAGACAGCUCUAGGAAGAAAGGAAAAGGAAUGAAACUUGACUAAAAUGAACUUAUAUUUCCACUGUGUAAAAGGGGGAAGGGGAUGCUGACUUCUGUCAUUUUGCCUGUAAUUGUUAUUGCAGACACGACUAUGUUACAGGUACAGUUAUUUAAUACUCUCAAAUUCUCUUUUGAAGGUCAAAGUGUUCUAACACCGUCAUAUUUUUGAUUGUGACUUAUAGCAGCAGAGUUUGGAAGUUCUCCUCAAGUCAGGAGAAGCUGCCAAAUGAAACCACACUUCAAUAGGUACAAAGUACCCUUUGGCAGAAUUCCAUCAAAUUACAAUCCCCUCUCGUUACUGCACGAGCAUUUCUGGGAGAGGUAGCCAGUUCUAACCCUUCUCACUCUGGUCAAAAGUCUACGUACUGGAUCUACAUACUGUGAUUCCUGGUUUUCAUUUCUGCUUUCCUUUCCUCUUUCCCCAGUAGGUCCUGUCCCAAUGUUGCCUCACAAUUCACCACAACUUUUGUUCAUUCACAUGAAUUUUGUAUUGGCCUCCAUUGAACUGUUCUGUGUGUUUGUGCACAUAUGUAAGCACAGACACCUACUUAUGCAAGUAGGCAGCUAAAUCAUCUUGGCCCCACUUUGCACCUCACAGACAGCUCAGCAGCAGGUUUGUCACUCUGCAAUUCAAUAUUCCCUGUGGCAGGGAAUGACUUUUUAACAGGUAGGCACUUGGGGCAUAACUGCUGUAUCUGUGCAUGGGCCAGAUGACUGGCUGAUUAUUUUGGGAUGUUUUUACCAUCAAACCAUUCUAUUUUCCACAAUCAACACAAUUCCAGCUCAGUCAAAGCUUGAAAAGGUAACACUGCCAUUUAACAUAGUGGAGUAAUUUCUUACAAAAUACAAUGAAUUAGGCGCAAGAUUCUAGGAACAAAUAAGGAAAAAAAACCCCAAACCCAACAAAAAAACACAAACCAACAACAUAGGCAGCCAUUUUUUUCACUUUGGUAAGCCUUGUCUUAAAUUUGGGGAUGCUUGCCACUCAAAACUUUCAAAGCUCAUUUUGUAUUUUGACAAGAAACAAUACUUAAACAUAGUCAACGAGGCUGCUUUUCUCAUGUACUGAUAGAGCUUUACCAAUCCUCCCAUUUUUCAGAGGAGCCAGUGAUGUGGGAGCCCUUAGGUUGGACUUUUUGUAGUGCUGAGCUGAUGCUUUAUGGCAGACCAAGCCUAUUUAAAAGUAGCCAUCCUGCUUUUAAUUUUGGGCUUUUCACCUCUCCCCUAUAUCAAACCUGCAAAGGCACACACAGGGAUGCACAGCUGUAGGAGGCAAACCCAGUUUCAUAACUCUUCCAUUUCCAAGCAAACUUCCCAAAUUACCAUGUGACACACUCCUACUGCAGGCAAGGCAAACUAAAAAGUGUUUAGUCAAUUCUUAGGAUGUCUAGGUCUCCAUAUUUCACUGUAGUCCCAUGUGCUUUUCUUCCUCCAGUAACUGCAGAACUGAGGACCUAAAGAGAAUGUGGAGGAAAUAACCUCCAAUUCCAUUCUCUUACUCCAGCAUUAAUAUUUAAGAUGAACCACUAAGAAAAUAACACUUGAAAUUCAAUAUAUAUAAUAUACGUUUUCUGACCCUGGUUUUAAUUAAAAUAUGAAUUGUAUAGGCAGAAAGACUUGCUCCUCUGCCAGGAGCAAAUCUCAAACCAUGGACAUCAAAUGCCCAUGGAAAAAAUACUUGUUUUUUUUCAUGCAUUAAAACUACCCCAACUUUAUUACAUUUGGAAACAUAAUGUCAUAGCAGAGGGCAACAUUAUGUCUGACAUAUAUAAUUAGUUUACAAAAAAAUACAACCAGAGGACACAUUUUUGAUAGAACCAGGUUUUUUUUUGUUGUUUUUCACCACAAUAGUUGCAGGAUAAUGGAUCACAUUGAUCCUUUUUGCUAAAUGACAAAGAAAAUGAGCAUUUAUAUAAAAAUGCCAUAACAGUUGAAGCUGGAAUUAAGGAAGCCUGUAACCUUUGCUCGUGCUCAUAAAUUACCCUGCAGAUGAGAAUGUGAUAUUAAAAAAAGGAGAAAGGCAUCCAACACCAAGAGAUGCAACCCAUCAAAUACUGAAAUGCUUUAUGUACAUGUGUAUCCAAUGUUAAUCACCUCAGAUCCUAUAGUACAAAUUGCCUCCAGCAGCUUCUAAAGUUAUAUCACAGGUUAAAUGGACACCCACAGAUAGAGAUUAGUCAUUUAAAAGACAAAGCUAUAAAAACUGAUUUCAAUUUCAGCUAAAGCUGUCUUAAAGUCAGUUUUUCAUGCAUUUUGAACUUUUGCCUUUUUUCCCCUGUUUCUGGGUAGGGGGUUAAUAGCAGGGCAGAGCACUGAAUCUGGCAGCAUAUAAGGCUUAUUUCCAGUAAAUACCUGAAAGAGAAAAUUGGGGCAAAAAGGUGUUACUCUUUCAGAUCAAAUAAAUUCAGUUGUCACUUUUAACAGCUGUGCAUCAGUAAGUCAUUAAAAAUAUCUGAAUUUUAA